rnacentral:rRNA from 1 species
CAGCAGCCGCGGUAAUACGUAGGUCCCGAGCGUUGUCCGGAUUUAUUGGGCGUAAAGGGAGCGCAGGCGGUUUAGUAAGUCUGAAGUUAAAGGCAUUGGCUCAACCAAUGUAUGCUUUGGAAACUGUUAGACUUGAGUGCAGAAGGGGAGAGGGGAAUUCCAUGUGUAGCGGUGAAAUGCGUAGAUAUAUGGAGGAACACCGGUGGCGAAAGCGGCUCUCUGGUCUGUCACUGACGCUGAGGCUCGAAAGCGUGGGUAGCGAACAGGAUUAGAUACCCCGGUAGUCCCUGUCUCUUAUACA